UACGGGGGGGGCAAGCGUUGUUCGGAAUUACUGGGCGUAAAGGGCUCGUAGGCGGCCAACUAAGUCGGACGUGAAAUCCCCAGGCUCAACCUGGGAACUGCGUCCGAUACUGGAUGGCUUGAAUCCGGGAGAGGGAUGCAGAAUUCCAGGUGUAGCGGUGAAAUGCGUAGAUAUCUGGAGGAAUACCGGUGGCGAAGGCGGCAUCCUGGACCGAGAUUGACGCUGAUGAGCGAAAGCUAGGGGAGCAAACGGG
rnacentral:rRNA from 1 species